ACUGGCCACCCUAGGCUUUCAAAACCUGUUCCAGGCUGCCACAGUCACCACUCAGCCUUCCCCCCCAGAAGUUUCUGGGGAUGUCUUCUCUGUCAACAACCACGAUAUACCCAUGGGGACGGAGCCUACUCCUGUCUGACCUCAUCUUAUCAUCUCUCUGGUUUCUGUUCCCCGUCUAUCACCAGGCCAGAAAGAGCAGUAUGCGCAAGGAGCCUGACUCUUCUUAAGAACAAGAACACAAAAAGGAGCUCAAAAACCAGCUUUGUCCUGAGCCGUAUACGGAGCAGGAAGGAUUGCAGGCAGGGGAUCUCUCGGUUUCCCACAAGGCCUUCCUGGGUGGCGAUGACAGACAGAUGAGCAAACGGACAUGGAUGCUUGAAAUUCACAAGUCUGAGACCAAGAGAAUUUAUCGUUGUAAUCAAAUAAAGCUUCCAAUCAACUUCC